GAGGAAACUCAUUAUAACGAGGUCCACUCUCGUGCCCGCGCAGUUGUGGAGCGUGCCAUCGGCAUCCUGAAAUGCAGAUGGCGUGCUCUGGAUGCCUCGGGUGGCAGACUUUUAUACCAUCCAGCAAAAAGUGUGCAAGAUUGUCAGGGCGUGUGGUGUUUUUGCACAAUAUAGCACUGAGAAACGGUAUUCCUCUCCCUCCUGAUCUCCCUCUACCCCAGCAUUACGACCCCGAGCCACAGCCCCCUGGCCGACAAGAGGGAUAUCAACGAGGUGCAAGAAUCCGUGAGGAUGUCAUGCGGCGUUUGUAAAGAAAGACAAAAACUCAAGGACUGCGUCAGUGAGUACCCGACCACUUUUGGGACGUGCCAGACGCAGAAGGGGCACUGCUUUGAGCCGGACGCUGUGCAUCUGCAUCUGAGAACCCCUCACCCUGAACCUCCUGUUCAUUUACAGCUUCAGACUCCGGAAGGACUGGAGGACAAACAAUUGGCAACAUUUAUCCAUUUAUCACCCCACACACUCAAAUGUACAGCGUUAAUGAUUAAAAAUCGGUUUAACCUUGCUCCUCUGUGGUUUCAGUCACGUCAGUGUCUCCCUCCUUUUCCGACACAAUACCACACACGCUGACCUCCCCAAUUAUAGCCGCGAUUUUUGCUGUCCACUGAUGUGAGAUCAGCUGUACAUGGGCCCCCACCAGUUGCAGCCACGCUCUGGCGGUGGGAGGACAGUUUUCUCUUUGCCUCCACCUUGAAUGAAUGAGAAUCUUUAUUUCACAUAUUUUGCAUACUGUAAGCACAUGUAAAUAAAAACUUUUUGAAAAAUCAAUAUUGCUAUUUAUAUAGGUAUAUAGCCUAAUAAAACACAAAUGUAAUAUGUUGGUAAAAAAAAAAUUUGUAUACCUUCAGGUCGGACCAUUUUUUCUUUAAUUCUGCAACUGUCCGUUCUGUCCCACUGACACAAUUGACGGCAGAAGCAAUACUUUGCCACUCGCACUGCUUCUUUUUAUUAGUGACCCCACUGCUGUGGCCACCAAAUAACACAGUUUUCCGAGCCUCCACCUCCCCUACAAGUGUUUCAAUCUCAGUAUCUGAGAAAUUACGUUUUUCCUCUUUUUCUCACCUGUCGCCAUUAUUAAAAUUAGGCUAACAGAAAUGCACGUUUUCACUUUCUUGGAUUAAUUAAUUGGCGGGUCGCAUGCCAGUUUUCCAGGUAUAUAUGGGAUUCCACUCUCAUUUACAUGCUGAUCAGCAAUCAUGAGGUGAUUUGCAUUGACUAUUUAUGGUUAAAAAUGGGCGUGUACAGGGCGGGAUAUGAGGCUGGUUCACGUACGCACAUCUGCGGGUGAUCUGUGAUUUAUAAAGGGAACAUUGCUUACAGGUGUGCGUACGCACGGUUUUAUAAAUCGGAAUAUUUUUUGGCGUACGCCAUUUUUGGCUUUUGGGCGCACGUAAACUUUUAGUAAAGAUCCUACGCAUAGUUUUAUAAAUGAGACCCCAGGCAAAGUUUGACGCGUGGUAUGGCACGGUCUCGGGUAAAUUCUUUCAUUUCAGGAAGGAGUUGUACGUGUACUGCGUGAUUGUCUUAUUACGUGAAGCGUGCAUGAAAUACAGAGAAGCGUUCAUAGACUCGAUUCGUUUAACUUUACCACUCUUGCGAGCUGUUGUAUGUUGUAUGUAGACAGCUACUACGAACAGGAUGUGAUAAGGUACGGCCUAUAAUUCAAUGGUUGUUUUUUCCAUGGCCACAAAUGGCACUUUGAACCCCAUAAUACCCACCCCUUGUCAGGCAUACCUUUCUGAGUUCUCAGAAGACAGUUUGACGACAAGGUUGAGAUUCUGCAAAACGCAUACGGCUUGAAAAUAGAGUUCCUGUGGGAGUGUGAAUGGAACAAAAUGAAACAGACUGACCCCUCGGUGAUUACGUUUGAGUACUUAUUCGGCUCCCGAGUGCCUGAACCCUCGAGAUGCCCUUUUUGUUGGACGCAUGAACACUUACAAACUGUAUCACAAAACGACCGAAGAGGAGAAAAUAAGUUACGUCGAUUUUACCAGCUUAUACCCCUUCUGCCAAGCUAGGAAAAGCUAUCCGAUCGGCCACCCCAAAAUCAUUUAUAAUGAUUUUGAACCAAUUUAAAAUUAUUACGGACUUAUCAAGGCCACUGUGUACCCCCCGCGCAAAUUACUCCUU
ensembl:lncRNA